UAGAGCGGAAUAAUUCACCGUUUGUAGCGGGUUUAUCAGGUUUUAGAAUGGAAUCACAAAUCACCAAUUGGCGAAUCGACAAUUCGAGAAAGUGGAUGUGAUAUUCUAUUGCUACUUUACCAAGUUUCUUUGUCAUUAGCAUUAAGAUGCCAUCAGGACCAAGAGCUUUUGAUAGUUUAGAAUUGUGUUUUCAACCUCAGCAGGAGUUAAAGAAUAGGA